UACAGAGGUCUCAAGCGUUGUUCGGAUUUAUUGGGCGUAAAGGGCUCGUAGGCGGUUCGUCGCGUCGGCUGUGAAAACCCGGAGCUCAACUCCGGGCCUGCAGUCGAUACGGGCGGACUUGAGUGUUGCAGGGGAGACUGGAAUUCCUGGUGUAGCGGUGAAAUGCGCAGAUAUCAGGAGGAACACCGGUGGCGAAGGCGGGUCUCUGGGCAACUACUGACGCUGAGGAGCGAAAGCGUGGGGAGCGAACAGG
rnacentral:rRNA from 1 species